rnacentral:rRNA from 1 species
GGACCCGCACAAGCGGUGGAGCAUGUGGUUUAAUUCGACGCAACGCGAAGAACCUUACCAGGGCUUGACAUCCCGGGCCACCUUAGGAAACUAAGGGUUCGAACCUUCGGGUUCGACUCGGAGACAGGUGGUGCAUGGUUGUCGUCAGCUCGUGUCGUGAGAUGUUGGGUUAAGUCCCGCAACGAGCGCAACCCCUACUUUUAGUUGCCAUCAUUAAGUUGGGCACUCUAAAGGAACUGCCGGUGACAAACCGGAGGAAGGUGGGGAUGACGUCAAAUCAUCAUGCCCUUUAUGUCCUGGGCUACACACGUGCUACAAUGGCUGGUACAGAGGGUUGCCAAAACCGUGAGGUGGAGCGAAUCCCAAAAAGCCAGUCUCAGUUCGGAUUGUAGUCUGCAACUCGACUACAUGAAGUCGGAAAUCGCUAGUAAUCGCGAGUCAGCAUAUCG